rnacentral:rRNA from 1 species
ACGGGAGGCAGCAGUGGGGAAUAUUGGGCAAUGGGCGCAAGCCUGACCCAGCAACGCCGCGUGAAGGAAGAAGGCUUUCGGGUUGUAAACUUCUUUUAAGGGGGAAGAGCAGAAGACGGUACCCCUAGAAUAAGCCACGGCUAACUACGUGCCAGCAGCCGCGGUAAUACGUAGGUGGCAAGCGUUGUCCGGAAUUACUGGGUGUAAAGGGAGCGCAGGCGGGAAAUCAAGUUGGAUGUGAAAUGUCGGGGCUUAACCCCGGAACUGCAUCCAAAACUGAUUUUCUUGAGUGAAGUAGAGGUAGGCGGAAUUCCGAGUGUAGCGGUGAAAUGCGUAGAUAUUCGGAGGAACACCAGUGGCGAAGGCGGCCUACUGGGCUUUAACUGACGCUGAGGCUCGAAAGUGUGGGGAGCAAACAGGAUUAGAUACCCUGGUA